CGCGUUGGGGGGGGGGGGGCGACACGGCUCGGGCCCGCCAGUGCCCCAACGGGGCCCUAGUCUUUGUUUCUUUCUUAGGGCCCGAGCGUAGCUGCUAAGCAGCUGCGAGAGCCCUCUUGUUCCUGUAGUUUCCUUCUUUUGUUAUUAUUAGGGCCCGAGCGUAGCUGCUAAGCAGCUGCGAGAGCCCUAUUAUUCCCCAAGUGGUUUUUCUUUGUUUCUUUCUUUCUUUCUUUCUUUCUUUCUUCUUUUUCCUCCCCUUUGAACUGGAAAAUGGCCCACUUCCCACUGGCGAAAACUCAUGAAAUUUGGCAGGACGACCGGGCCUGGUGAAAAAUUUGAUAUUCUGAAGUCGCCCAAACAAUAAAAUGCAAAAUGGCUCCAUAGCGCCCCCUAAGGUGGAAAUUCACACUAUUGAUUGUCACGCCUGUACGCUUUGUCAUAUUGACACAAAAAUUGACACACAUAUGUAUCUCAAUAAGAUCUACAAAAAAGUCAGUGCGGCCCUAUCUGUCAAAAUUACGGUUAAAGGGUUAUUCCGCAUUUUUUGCCGAUCCGCACACAUUGGAAUUUCGCUAACUCCUCCGAAGGCUCUCGUUCCACCGGCACCACAUUUGCUCAGGCCAAUCUACACCCCGUGGCCAUUAAAAGUUAUCAAAAUCAUGACGCUGCACCCCACGGUUUAGGUUCUAGGGGGCGCCAAAGAUAACACUAAAAUCCACAUAUUUAAAAGUCUUAUAACUUUUUAUUUUUGUCCUCACUGGCCUCCAAGUUUUCUAGGAUGAUGCAAUGUCCAGCCAUCAACACAUUUGUGAAGGAAUUUUUACUCCCCAAAAGAGCGCCCCCCCAUGGCAGGAGAAAAAAGUCCAUUUUUUCUUGUCCCCUAAGGUGAAAAUACACAUUGUUGAGUGUCACGUCUAUACGCUUUGUCAAAAUGACACAAAAAUUGACACACACAUGUAUCUCAAUAAGAUCUACGAAAAAGUCAAUGCGUGCAUAUCUGUCAAAUGUACAGUUAAAGGGUUAUUCCGCAUUUUUUGCCGAUCCGCACACAUUGGAAUGUGGCUAACUCCUCCUAAGGCUUUCGUUCCACCGGCACCACAUUUGCUCAGGCCAAUCUACACCCCAUGGCCAUUAAAAGUUAUUCAAAUCAUGACGCUGCACCCCACGGUUUAGGUUCUAGGGGGCGCCAAAGAUAACCCUAAAAUCCACAUAUUUAAAAGUCUUAUAACUUUUUAUUUUUGUCCUCACUGGCCUCCAAGUUUUCUAGGAUGAUGCAAUGUCCAGCCAUCAACACAUUUGUGAAGGAAUUUUUACUCCCCAAAAGAGCACCCCCCAUGGCAGGAGAAAAAAGUCCAUUUUUUCUUGUCCCCUAAGGUGAAAAUACAUAUUGUUGAGAUUCACGCCUAUAUGCUUUGUCAUAUUGACACAAAAUUUGACAAUCACGUGCCUUGCCUGGUAUCAUUUUUUUCAGCACAACCUCACCUGUGCGAAUUUACAGUUAUUUUAUCAUGUUGACAUACUGAAUUUACACAAUGGACCCAAAUUCACACACAAAACAUAAAAUCCGAGUGGAAAAAAGUAACAUUUUUACUGUGAAAACCACAAAUAUGUGUGAUGAACUGUUUUUAAAACUUAAACUUCAAAUAAAAAUUGUAAACUUCAAAACAUAUGCAAAUUUUUAACAAAGAACAUAGUGAUUUACCUCUAUUUACAUCAAAAUGCAGGCAAUGGCCCAGGCGUUCUUUGUAAAAUUAUUUACAAAACACUGUAUAGUCUCACAAAUGUCACUUUUUAUUUAUGCCACUACAAAAAAACAUGAUGUAAAUGAUGCAUGAUGUAAAACAUGAUGUAAAAAACUUGUGUAGAUCCUCCUCUAUGUCAGUCCAUGUGUAAUUUUUCCAUAAUUCUUUGUUUUUUGCAGCAUUUUUGUUAGUGUAACUGCAGAUUGUGCUGACAGUGUCUAUGGCACAAAAAAAAAAAAAAUUAAAAUGCCUCAACAUGAACCCCUGGUGGUCUCUGAGGGUGAAACCUGCUAACUGCUGCAGCUCUGUCAGCUUCAGUCUCCCAUGCAGAGCUCUGAGCGCAUGUGUGGCUCUGCACCCUUAGCAGCGUUGCUAACUCCUCAGUAAGGAAAGCCUGCUUCAUGUCAGAGUCUCUAAACUCCAGAAGAAGUCGAUAAAAGUCCCUUUCUUUCUAAAAAAAAGUCGUUAGGGGGUCUGAAAAGUCAUUGAAUCUAACAACAAAGUCGCUAGGUUUGCAACUACGUGUCCCAGACUGCAUCCCUGCUGAGAGUCCCUCCCUCGCUUCUCAUGUUGCAGGAAGAACGUAAGCGCCCGCCCCUUGUCAAUCAGUCACCAUAUAAUUUUGGAUUGGUUGUUGUGGUGAAGUUUUCCACCAAUAGGAGAGAUGUUGUGGUGUGUUUUUUUUUUCUUUUGGCAAGCCUUUUCCGCCUGUAAGACCUGUCGCUAAUGUCUGCAUGCUAUGUUUUCCUGUCUCAUACAGCGCGAUCGAGCGCCGAAUGUGAUCAAAAUAAGCAGAAAAAAGUAUCGCGGACAUAAUUUAUCAUAACUCUGGUUUUAUUUGGCCUAUCAACACAAUUUAAAAACUGGUAUAUAGGUUGAGGUCCUCACUUUUGAGAUAAGUUGAAACGGAGAGUCAACGAGGCUCCGUCUUGCAGCUACAUCCGGUUAAAUAUGUCAUGUGACUUGAACGCACACACAGACACACACACACGCACACACACACACACACACACACACACACACACACACACACUCAGAGUCUGGUUUUUAGCACCUGCAAAAACAUGCCAUUUACAUAUUUGACAAGAAUGCAGAGGCUCCUUUUGCCCCUGAAAAAAAUCAAAUUUCAAACACAACUUGACUGGUCAUUUCUCCAAAAGACAACCAUGAAGCUCCAUCCAAACCUGAAGCAGGCAGUUGGUGCAUGUGUACAGUAACCUGAGGGGAGUGAGGUGAGUGCUUCUGAGGAGAACAUGAGCAGUGAAGAUUCACCUUGGAGCUAGAACAGAGACAUGCACAUGAUUAUACAGGGGCAGGGGCUCAAGUUUUUUCCAGUCGUUUAUACAAUAUGGAAAUUAAUGUGAAAUUAAAACACAAAGUAUUAAUAGAAAGGUAAUGACUGUCCUGUGUAGGUGACAGUGAUAUCGAAUAGGCUAGGCACUCACGAGGCUGGCUGUGGCAAGUGUAAGUGAAAGCAACACGCACUGGCAGGAAGAACAGCAAACGCCGAUGAAGGAAAAGGGUCUUUGCAGUGAUGGGCGUUACCAGAGAGGGCGAUGGCCAGAGGACACAAAUGGGACGGGGAGGCAGCACGUUGGGGGGGGGCGACACGGCUCGGGCCCGCCAGUGCCCCAACGGGGUCCUAGUUAGGGCCCGAGCGUAGCUGCUAAGCAGCUGCGAGAGCCCUCUUGUUCCUGAUGGAUUCUUCUUUUGUUAUUAUUAUUAUUAUUAUUAUUUUUCCUCCGCUUUAAACUGGAAAAUGGCCCACUUCCCACUGGCGAAAACUCAUGAAAUUUGGCAGGACGACCGGGCCUGGUGAAAAAUUCGAUAUUCUGAAGUCGCCCAAACAAUAAAAUGCAAAAUGGCUCCAUAGCGCCCCCUAAGGUGAAAAUUCACACUAUUGACUGUCACGCCUUUACGCUUUGUCAUAUUGACACAAAAAUUGACACACACAUGUAUCUCAAUAAGAUCUACAAAAAAGUCAGUGCGGGCGUAUCUGUCAAAUGUACGGUUAAAGGGUUAUUUCGCAUUUUUUGCCGAUCCGCACACAUUGGAAUUUCGCUAACUCCUCCGAAGGCUUUCGUUCCAACGGCACCACAUUUGCUCAGGCCAAUCUACACCCCAUGGCCAUUAAAAGUUGUACAAAUCAUGACGCUGCACCCCACGGUUUACGUUCUAGGGGGCGCCAAAGAUAACCCAAAAAUCCACAGUCUUAAAAGUCUUAUAACUUUUUAUUUUUGUCCUCACUGGCCUCCAAGUUCUCUAGGAUGAUGCAAUGUCCAGCCAUCAACACAUUUGUGAAGGAAUUUUUACUCCCCAAAUGAGCGCCCCCCAAUGGCAGGAGAAAAAAGUCAAUUUUUUCUUGUCUCCUAAGGCGAAAAUACACAUUGUUGACUGUCACGCCUGUAUGCUUUGUCAAAAUGACACAAAAAUUGACAUACACAUGUAUCUCAAUACGAUCUACGAAAAAGUCAAUGCGAGCGUAUCUGUUCAAUGUACGGUUAAAGGGCUAUUUCGCAUUUUUUGCCGAUUCGCACACAUUGGAAUUUCACUAACUCCUCCUAAAGCUUUUGUCCCAUCGGCUUCAAAUUUGCUCAGGUCAAUCUACACCCCAUGGCCAUUCAAAGUUGUACAAAUCAUGACGCUGCACCCCACGGUUUACGUUCUAGGGGGCGCCAAAGAGGACCCAAAUAUCCACAUUUUUAAAAGUCUUAUAACUUUUUAUUUUUGUCCUCACUGGCCUCCAAGUUCUCUAGGAUGAUGCAAUGUCCAGCCAUCAACACAUUUGUGAAGGAAUUUUUUCUCCCCAAAAGAGCGCCCCCCCAUGGCAGGAGAAAAAGUCAAGUUUUUCCUGCCCAUCGCUCAAUGGCUCAAACUCAUCGCUCUCUCGGCAAAACGGAAAGGAGGAGCAACUUGCCAUUUGGAUAUAUACUAGCUGUGUUUGUGCCCUCACUCAUGGUCCAGACUUUUUUCAAAAAGGACAUGGAGUUUGUCUGCAGCGAGCGUUUUGGUAGAAACUGCGCCUCCCAUUCAUUAUAAUGGUAAAUGACCACAGACAAGUGCGCACACCAUCUUUGGACCUUGAGUGUGACGCGAUCGGGAGGGGUAGGCGGUCGCGCUGGGGGCGGCGCGACACGGCUCGGGCCCGCCAGUGCCCCAACGGGGCCCUAGUUAUUUUUCCUCCCCUUUGAACUGGAAAAUGGCCCACUUCCCACUGGCGAAAACUCAUGAAAUUUGGCAGGACGACCGGGCCUGGUGAAAAAUUUGAUAUUCCGAAGUCGCCCAAACAAGAAAAUGCAAAAUGGCUCCAUAGCGCCCCCUAAGGUGAAAAUUCACACUAUUGACUGUCACGCCUGUACGCUUUGUCAAAAUGACACAAAAAUUGACACACACAUGUAUCUCAAUAAGAUCUACAAAAAAGUCAGUGCGGGCGUAUCUGUCAAAUGUACGGUUAAAGGGUUAUUUCGCAUUUUUUGCCGAUCCGCACACAUUGGAAUUUCGCUAACUCCUCCGAAGGCUUUCGUUCCACCGGCACCACAUUUGCUCAGGCCAAUCUACACCCCAUGGCCAUUAAAAGUUAUUCAAAUCAUGACGCUGCACCCCACGGUUUAGGUUCUAGGGGGCGCCAAAGAUAACCCUAAGAUCCACAUAUUUAAAAGUCUUAUAACUUUUUAUUUUUGCCCUCACUGGCCUCCAAGUUUUCUAGGAUGAUGCAAUGUCCAGCCAUCAACACAUUUGUGAAGGAAUUUUUACUCCCCAAAAGAGCGCCCCCCCAUGGCAGGAGAAAAAAGUCCAUUUUUUCUUGUCCCCUAAGGUGAAAAUACACAUUGUUGAGUGUAACACCUGUACGCUUUGGCAAAAUGACACAAAAAUUGACACACACAUGUAUCUCAAUAAGAUCUACGAAAAAGUCAAUGCGCGCGUAUCUGUCAAAUGUACGGUUAAAGGGUUAUUCCGCAUUUUUUGCCGAUCCGCACACAUUGGAAUUUCGCUAACUCCUCCGAAGGCUUUCGUUCCACCGGCACCACAUUUGCUCAGGCCAAUCUACACCCCAUGGCCAUUAAAAGUUAUUCAAAUCAUGACGCUGCACCCCACGGUUUAGGUUCUAGGGGGCGCCAAAGAUAACCCUAAAAUCCACAUAUUUAAAAGUCUUAUAACUUUUUAUUUUUGUCCUCACUGGCCUCCAAGUUUUCUAGGAUGAUGCAAUGUCCAGCCAUCAACACAUUUGUGAAGGAAUUUUUACUCCCCAAAAGAGCGCCCCCCCCAUGGCAGGAGAAAAAAGUCAAUUUUUUCUUGUCCCCUAAGGUGGAAAUUCACACUAUUGACUGUCACGCCUGUACGCUUUAUCAUAUUGACACAAAAUUUGACAAUCACAUGUAUCUCAAUAAGAUCUACAAAAAAGUCAAUGCGCGCGUAUCUGUCAAAUGUACGGUUAAAGGGCUAUUUUGCAUUUUUUGCCGAUUCGCACACAUUGGAAUGUGGCUAACUCCUCCUAAGGCUUUCGUCCCACUGACACCAAAUUUGCUCAGGCCAAUCUACACCCCAUGGUCAUUCAAAUUUGUAAAAAUCAUGACGCUGCACCCCACGGUUUACGUUCUAGGGGGCGCCAAAGAUGACCCAAAUAUCCACAUUCUUAAAAGAAUCCACAUCCCCCCCCAUCCCCCAACCCCCAUGGCAGGAGAAACAGUCAAGUUUUUCCUGCCCAUCACUCAAUGGC